rnacentral:lncRNA from 1 species
UGCGUUGAAUUCAUUUGGUGAUUUAUUGCCGAUUCUACAAAAUGAACAAUUGCCUGCAACUUAAACAUUGGAUCCAUAGAGAUGAACCAAAUAUGAACGCCUAAAAGAAAUAGUUGUGGAUUUUUCAACACUUAAAAUCUCCUGUAUACACAUACGUACUUUCAAUGUCAUCUCUCGAACCAUACAAAUUGGUUAUUUAACGAUCACACAUUGAGAAUUAAUAUUUGUG